rnacentral:rRNA from 1 species
UACGAAGGGUGCAAGCGUUACUCGGAAUUACUGGGCGUAAAGCGUGCGUAGGCGGUUUGUUAAGUCUGUCGUGAAAGCCCCGGGCUCAACCUGGGAAUGGCGAUGGAAACUGGCGAGCUAGAGUACGGUAGAGGAGAGUGGAAUUCCCGGUGUAGCAGUGAAAUGACGUAGAGAUCGGGAGGAACAUCAGUUGCGAAGGCGGCUCUCUGGACCAGUACUGACGCUGAGGCGCGAAAGCGUGGGGAGCAAACAGG